rnacentral:rRNA from 1 species
UCCCAAAGUCAUGGUUAAGUGGGAAACGAUGUGGGAAGGCCCAGACAGCCAGGAUGUUGGCUUAGAAGCAGCCAUCAUUUAAAGAAAGCGUAAUAGCUCACUGGUCGAGUCGGCCUGCGCGGAAGAUGUAACGGGGCUAAACCAUGCACCGAAGCUGCGGCAGCGACGCUUAUGCGUUGUUGGGUAGGGGAGCGUUCUGUAAGCCUGUGAAGGUGUGCUGUGAGGUAUGCUGGAGGUAUCAGAAGUGCGAAUGCUGACAUAAGUAACGAUAAAGCGGGUGAAAAGCCCGCUCGCCGGAAGACCAAGGGUUCCUGUCCAACGUUAAUCGGGGCAGGGUGAGUCGACCCCUAAGGCGAGGCCGAAAGGCGUAGUCGAUGGGAAACAGGUUAAUAUUCCUGUACUUGGUGUUACUGCGAAGGGGGGACGGAGAAGGCUAUGUUGGCCGGGCGACGGUUGUCCCGGUUUAAGCGUGUAGGCUGGUUUUCCAGGCAAAUCCGGAAAAUCAAGGCCGAGGCGUGAUGACGAGGCACUACGGUGCUGAAGCAACAAAUGCCCUGCUUCCAGGAAAAGCCUCUAAGCAUCAGGUAACAUCAAAUCGUACCCCAAACCGACACAGGUGGUCAGGUAGAGAAUACCAAGGCGCUUGAGAGAACUCGGGUGAAGGAACUAGGCAAAAUGGUGCCGUAACUUCGGGAGAAGGCACGCUGAUACGUAGGUGAAGCGACUUGCUCGUGGAGCUGAAAUCAGUCGAAGAUACCAGCUGGCUGCAACUGUUUAUUAAAAACACAGCACUGUGCAAACACGAAAGUGGACGUAUACGGUGUGACGCCUGCCCGGUGCCGGAAGGUUAAUUGAUGGGGUUAGCGCAAGCGAAGCUCUUGAUCGAAGCCCCGGUAAACGGCGGCCGUAACUAUAACGGUCCUAAGGUAGCGAAAUUCCUUGUCGGGUAAGUUCCGACCUGCACGAAUGGCGUAAUGAUGGCCAGGCUGUCUCCACCCGAGACUCAGUGAAAUUGAACUCGCUGUGAAGAUGCAGUGUACCCGCGGCAAGACGGAAAGACCCCGUGAACCUUUACUAUAGCUUGACACUGAACAUUGAGCCUUGAUGUGUAGGAUAGGUGGGAGGCUUUGAAGUGUGGACGCCAGUCUGCAUGGAGCCGACCUUGAAAUACCACCCUUUAAUGUUUGAUGUUCUAACGUGGACCCGUGAUCCGGGUUGCGGACAGUGUCUGGUGGGUAGUUUGACUGGGGCGGUCUCCUCCUAAAGAGUAACGGAGGAGCACGAAGGUUGGCUAAUCCUGGUCGGACAUCAGGAGGUUAGUGCAAUGGCAUAAGCCAGCUUGACUGCGAGCGUGACGGCGCGAGCAGGUGCGAAAGCAGGUCAUAGUGAUCCGGUGGUUCUGAAUGGAAGGGCCAUCGCUCAACGGAUAAAAGGUACUCCGGGGAUAACAGGCUGAUACCGCCCAAGAGUUCAUAUCGACGGCGGUGUUUGGCACCUCGAUGUCGGCUCAUCACAUCCUGGGGCUGAAGUAGGUCCCAAGGGUAUGGCUGUUCGCCAUUUAAAGUGGUACGCGAGCUGGGUUUAGAACGUCGUGAGACAGUUCGGUCCCUAUCUGCCGUGGGCGCUGGAGAACUGAGGGGGGCUGCUCCUAGUACGAGAGGACCGGAGUGGACGCAUCACUGGUGUUCGGGUUGUCAUGCCAAUGGCACUGCCCGGUAGCUAAAUGCGGAAGAGAUAAGUGCUGAAAGCAUCUAAGCACGAAACUUGCCCCGAGAUGAGUUCUCCCUGACCCUUUAAGGGUCCUGAAGGAACGUUGAAGACGACGACGUUGAUAGGCCGGGUGUGUAAGCGCAGCGAUGCGUUGAGCUAACCGGUACUAAUGAACCGUGAGGCUUAACCUUACAACGCCGAAG